rnacentral:misc_RNA from 1 species
ACUCAACUGGACUGUGCUAAAAGUGUCCAGUAGGAUAUUAUCGCCUUAAUUGCUCAGAACAAUGCAUAUACCCUACGUAUGGAGGGGACUGCCAGUCUGAAUGCAAAUGUUCCCCGGAUAAGUGCAACUUUGUAACUGGAUGUUCUCAGGGACAGAAAGAAGCUACAGGCAAUCAACGAUUACAAUCAACAAAGGAAGUGACAGUUAAACCAUCAAUUCAAUCGUCGACAGUUAGGAUAUCGAACAUAUCUGUUGGCUACAAAACUAUUGAUUAUGAUUUAUCGCGGGGCACGAACAAAUACAGUGAUACCACGUCGUCUUUUGUGCCUCCAGGCAUUGGUUUGCUAACAGACAAUUUAGUAGUGCGUAUUAUAAUCAGCUUAAUUGGAGUGUUUGUCUUUUGCUUUGCCAUAUUUGUUUUUACGUAUAUGUAUUUCAAAUGCUUCCGGAAGACAACUAAUGCUAGUGGCGGAGUAAGAGAGAACGAGUCGCAAUCUCAGUACAAAUCGUUGCGUUUUGAUGCAGUAGAACCCCAGCUGAUUCCAUUACAUCCAGAACAACAGGGGCGGAUGAAUGCAGAUUUCACAUACCUCACUCCAGUGUUUAGUGGCAAUGAGAGUCGAGAAUCACAUCGCACUGUUGAAAACGAAAUAAGAAAUGAAAAUGAGAUAUUACCUAAGAUCAAUCUACAAGAACAGAGAGUUUGCAACCAAGAAAGUACUAGCAGACAGGAUGAAUCAAACAGUACUCAUGAUGAUGUUCAUGAACAUGUGUAUAUUGAGAUUACAGAAGAAAAAACCGAAAGUUCGAAUGUAGUUGCAGGUCAUGAAAACCAAAGAUAUAUUAAUAUUGUUCAAAGCACUUCCAUUAGCAGAGAGUCUGCGUACACUAAUGUUAACAAGGAAGAGUCCUAACGAAUAUGAUAUAGAAAAAAAUUUGAUGUAUAUAGCAGUGUGUACUUAAAAAAUCUUCAAAAUUAUACAAAAUAAUACUAUUUUAUGUCUUGUUGAUGCAUCUGUCAUUCGUCUCUUUCAUACAUGUAUUUGAUAUCAAUUAAACUUAAAAUAAUAA